rnacentral:rRNA from 1 species
GACGAACGCUGGCGGUGUGCUUAACACAUGCAAGUCGAACGGUAAUGCCCUGCUGUUGUGGGGUGCUCGAGUGGCGAACUGGCUAGUAACACGUUAUUAACCUGCCCUUGACUUUGGGAUAACUUCAGGAAACUGGGGCUAAUACCGGAUAGGAGCUCCUGCUGCAUGGUGGGCGUUGGAAAGUUUCGGCGGUUGUGGAUGGACUCGCGGCUUAUCAGCUUGUUGGUGGGGUUGUGGCUUACCAAGGCUUUGACGGGUACCCGGCCUGAGAGGGUGACCGGGCACAUUGGGACUGAGAAACGGCCCAGACUCCUACGGGAGGCAGGAGGGGGGAAUAUUUCAAAAAGGGCGGAAGCCUGAAGCAACAAAGACGGGGGCGGGAUAAAGGCCUUAGGGUUGUAAAAAGGUUUCGCCUGUGACGAAGCGUGAGUGACGGUAAUGGGGAAAGAAGCACCGGCUAACUACGUG